CGUGUAGGCUGCUCGGAAAGUCGGGUGUGAAAGCCCUGGGCUCAACCUAGGAAGUGCACUCGAAACUUCCGAGCUGGAGUGCUGGAGAGGAAGGCGGAAUUCUCGGUGUAGAGGUGAAAUUCGUAGAUAUCGAGAGGAACACCGGUGGCGAAGGCGGCCUUCUGGACAGUUACUGACGCUGAGACGCGAAAGCGUGGGGAGCAAACA
rnacentral:rRNA from 1 species